rnacentral:rRNA from 1 species
GACGAAGGUGGCGAGCGUUGUUCGGAAUCACUGGGCAUAAAGCGCACGUAGGCGGUGUCGUAAGUCGGAUGUGAAAUCCCUCGGCCUAACCGAGGAACUGCGUCCGAUACUGCGAUGCUUGAGGACCAGAGGGGUGCAUGGAAUUUCCCGGUGGAGCGGUGAAAUGCGUUGAUAUCGGAAGGAACUCCGGCGGCGAAAGCGAUGCACUGGCUGGUUUCUGACGCUGAGGUGCGAAAGCCAGGGGAGCAAACGGG